UACAGAGGUCCCGAGCGUUGUUCGGAAUCACUGGGCGUAAAGGGCGUGUAGGCGGUCAGGUAAGUGGGAUGUGAAAUGCCCCGGCUCACCCGGGGACCGGCAUCCCAUACUGCUUGGCUUGAGUACGGGAGAGGAUGUGGGAAUUCCUGGUGUAGCGGUGAAAUGCGUAGAUAUCAGGAGGAACACCGGUGGCGAAGGCGCACAUCUGGCCCGAUACUGACGCUGAGGCGCGAAAGCUAGGGGAGCAAACGGG
rnacentral:rRNA from 1 species